UACAGAGGUCUCAAGCGUUGUUCGGAUUCAUUGGGCGUAAAGGGUGUGUAGGUGGCGCCGUAAGUCGGGUGUGAAAUUUCGAGGCUUAACUUCGAAACUGCAUUCGAUACUGCGGUGCUUGAGGACUGGAGAGGAGACUGGAAUUCAUGGUGUAGCAGUGAAAUGCGUAGAGAUCAUGAGGAAGACCAGUGGCGAAGGCGGGUCUCUGGACAGUUCCUGACACUGAGACACGAAGGCCAGGGGAGCAAACGGG
rnacentral:rRNA from 1 species